GCCAUCUGUUGUGUUUGCAGCAUCCGUGCAGUGUCAGAUCGGUAUGCAAUCAUGUGCGGUUCAUGGACUGUUGAAGUGUCAAGCAAGCGCAAUUGACCUAGACACGUGUCACCUUAAUUGGAUUAAAAUACACCUUCUAUGACCAAAUUCAUAACAAAAAUAUGUUUUAUUAAGGUCAUGCAUAUUUGAAAACUAGAUUGUUGUUAUUAUGAGAAAGUUCUUUAAAACAUAGCGGAAAUACUGGGAUUCCAAUACGUAUUGCAGCAAGGUCAAAAUAUAUUAACACACCUAAACAAAUAACUUUGACGCAUAUCCAUUAGCCAUUAUAGCCCUAUAUAAGCGAAAAGACCAUCUACAUUUCCAAGAAAUACCAUCAGCAGCACAGAUAGUUCAAUACCGUCUUUUACAAAAGAAAUUUUCAAUUCUAAAAAAAAAAAAAAAUCGUCAUGAAUUGUUUGGUCUUAUUUUUGAUUUUUGUUAGCAUUGUCGGCAUAUUCCAAGUAGCAGCGCAAACCACAACGGCAAAUCAGAGGCAGUUCACCAUCACCAACAUGCAGUACACUGUGGUGAGGCGAAUUCAAAGAAAUGGCGCAAAUAGCACAACUGGCAACUCUGCAAGAAGACUCAGGAGACUGAGCAGAAGGGGAUAAUGCUACUAGACCUCAACAAUGAGCUUGUUAUAAUUUGUGAUUAAUGCUUUACUUUGGAAGAAAUUGUUAGUGAUAUGAAUUGAGUGAUAAGUUGUUCAGUAAUGCUUAAGCUUAUAAAUAAAGUUAUCUUUUCGAGAA
rnacentral:sRNA from 1 species